rnacentral:lncRNA from 1 species
CUUGCGAGUGGCUCACGCUUUCCAGCCUCUUGUGGCCGACUCAGCUUUGGUCCUCCGCAUCACGUGAUUAAUUAACGUACCUCAAUGGAUGCACAAUGCACAUGUAUGAAUAUCAAGACGAAUAUCGCAAGAUAAUAUUACGAUUUUACAUAAUGAAGAAUUAAACACUUCUAUCUUAACCAGAUCUAACUCAUGAUACUAGUAUCGACAUAUUACUAAAUACAACAGUCACCCUUCUAUCUUAACCAGAUCUAACUCAAACAUCAAGAACAAUAUUCUGAACAAGUCAUAUACCAUCAUUAGCUAACGCAUGACACCGAAGGACUAACAAUACUUAGACUUAACAACCAUGGAUACCUAUAACUUAAAAUAACAUACAAUAGCUUUUUAAGUGACUUAGAAUUACUACUCUAAACCAUUAUGCACAUCAUAUCAGCUAGACAAGAUAUCAACACAAAUCAAUUAUGCAAAACUCGUGACAUAUAAGCAUCACUAGCGCUGAUCGGCUAGACGAUAUAAACAUUUACACCAUACUUCUCAUUAUUAACUUGACCAUUCCUCGCGAAUGACGAACCAAUUUAUACACGCUUAACUUAUACGUCCUCUAAAACAUUCUUCGUAAAUCCUGCAUUUUAGACCUAAGUUGAACCAUAAUACGCAAUUAUUUCACAUGAAUACGUUACCGGAGGUGCUGAGAUAUUUUAGCAAACAUCUAACACAAACACGACGCGCCUGCUAAACACGAGAAUUAUUACAACUAAUAAGACUAGUUAAUCCAAUCAUCAAAUAGACUUACAAUAAUUAUAAAUCAGCUCAACAGCAUCAAACGUGACUCAAUACUGAUAAAUCCUGGCUCGGGCUUGUCGUCGAACAUUUGAUGGGUGUUGUGCGGCUUCACUUCCUUCUCCAUACCUUUCGAUGAUUUCUCUCAAACCAGCAACUCGCCACCCCACAAGCAACAUCUAUAAUAGACAUGUGAAGCAGUGUCGAGAUCUACCGCCCUCAUGGCCCUAAUGGUGUUGUCUAUGAGGAGGCGAAGCACAGCCAGGUGCGUAUCGGAAGAGAUACUGAGAUCAAAGACGAUGACACGCAUCAUGGCGAGGCGGCAUAUGGCAGGGGAAAAAUAGGAACUGAUGAUGACGAGGGAGUACCACGGCUGCUGGGGACUUGGCGAGGUGGAGACGUGUAGCUGAGUGACGAUGGUAGAAUUUGCUGGUUCGACACGGGGAGGACCAACAAGAUAGACAGCCAGUGAGACAAGAAGGUGGAGCGUAGUCAAACACCAUGUUGAUGCGUGGCCACCAGAAGGGCAAAGACGAGGUCGAGCAGGGAAGGAUAGGGUUCGACGUGCUCGACGACGAUACGAUAUGGUGGCGUAUAGAGCUGCAGGUCUGGCGAGCCGACGCAAGUGACGGAGACAGCUACGUCUGGCAGCAGCGCAUCGACUGAGGACAAGCCCAUAGCGACGCACAACGGUGAGGAGCUCGGCGCAGAACGUGCGGCGCAAGCAGGCAUUGAGGAGUACGCGACUAGCACGGACGAACGCGACAAGGCGAGGCCAUCCACCAUGGCUGCUUGAGGGAGGCGAGCACACACGAUGACCGACCAAUACUAGGAAAGGUCGACAACGAUGAGUUGGGACGAGGGCACACGGAACUGCGGGGUGGCGACAAACAGCCAUGGCGAGGAGCCGUGUGUGGGAGCAGGUACUGGCGAGCAGAGAGUUGGUGGCGGCUUGCAUGUUGGCGAGCACCAGAGAAGGGUUGCGGUGACUGGAGAGUGGUGGACGCGACUGUAGAGUAGCGUCAAGUCGCGGCUCCCAGAGCUACAGCAGCGGCAAGGCCAGAAAGAUGGCUGGCGAGCUGGAGACCAGAGAGAAGCGUCGAUCUCCAUGGAACCUGUGGACGAAUGAGCAGGAAAACACCAGAGAGCAGGGUGAGCGCCAUGGGGGAUGGGGUCCGACGAUUCGACGGUGGCCUCGACCGGAGGGAAUACGAAGACAGCGAGCAGGGAAGGAGCACCGGCAGAGGGCUGGGCCGAGCUGGAGCCGGCGCUGGGGGCUGGGGGCUGGGCGAGAUCUAAGCUGGGGGAAGCAUCGGCUAUGGAGGAACACGGAAGCAAAGGCACGGUGGCUAUGGAAAAGGGAGACGAGGACGACGGAGCGGUGGAGCUUGAGGCUGGCCCUACAGUGAGCUACAUCAGGGACCAAGGCGAGACCGCGGGCGGGCGAGUUCCAUGGUUAGGAGGGUGCGCGGCCAGCCUGGAGGAGCAAGAGCUGGUGCGAGCUGCACGCGUGGGACGAAGACGUGAGGGAGAGAGGCGCACUGAAGAUAGAGAGAAGAGGGUCGGCUGGGGAAGAAGCCUGUGCACGUGGGAGAUAAGGUGUGACACCCCACGUGUCAGUUUCGUGUUACGUCGGGAGGUUUAUCAUAAUCUCGGAUGCUUAGUGGAAAUUUCAAAUUCUCGCUCGCGUAUGUCUCUGAUUAUCCAAAUUAUUCAUCCCUAUUUCACCGAAUCUGGAGUUAUUCCAGUCUCACAGAAGGCCGAAUUUGGAGCCUAUUAAAACUUUUAUUCUCGGCACGAAUGCGAACUCGAUAAUCCAUCUCAAUUUAUAAAUCUCAUCUAAAGCUUAUUUAAUAAAGCGCUCGACAGUUGCUAGUCGAGUUGUGUCUGAAUCCAAUUUUCUCGAUAUUCGAUCUAUAUCCAAAAAUUAAUCCAAGUCCGUACUCUCAAACGGAAUACUUAAUAUGUCGUCCUCUAAUUAAUUUUAUCUGACUCAGCUUAAUACCUCUGUGUCCGAUCCGAUUUCUAAAAUCAACAUCGGCGACUUUUAAAUGUCGCGGUUUGUCUCUUUCAAUCAUAAAUCCGAAAGCCGGUCAUAUCUUAAGACGAUUCAUUUUCGAAUCUUAUUUUCGAGCAAAAACAAAUCAGACUCUCGAUCGAAUUAAUCGCUCAAUCGUCCGUUCGUCCGAACUCUAUUUCACUCUGUUCUCCGUUGAGAUGAAUUCCGCAGGACCAUUUUUAUUCCGAAAAAUAUUUAGCGCAGCGCGAUUACGUGUUUUAGGCCAAGCCCAGCCCGGCCCAGCCCACUGAGAAACCCUAACCCUAGCGAUUUUCUAUAAAUAGAGGUGCUCCUUCCUUGCUUGGCUUUAAUUCACCUACCCCCUAGCCGCCACUUUCUUUUUCCCUGUCUUCUUCUCCCUCGCGCUGCAGCUCUGCACACUCCCUCCCUGCCCAUGGCGUCCUCCUCUCCUCUCCCAUGGCUACAGCAGGGAGCUCAGCUCCUCUCCUCGGCCGCUAUGGUGCUCGACGCCUCUCCCCUUCAGGCAUGGCAGCAGCUUCUUCUCCUCCCCUAUGUUUUUCCGGUACGUGCGCAAAGCUAUUCCUUUCCUGGCCGCCGAGCUCCACCUCCCAUGGCCGGGCCUCUGCCCCAGUGCUCGGCGCCCCUCUGUGCAGACCCACGCCUUCUACUUCGGCCAGCAGCAGCCGAGCGCCCUCCCUCCUCCUCCUCCCGGCGAGCGGCUGCAGAAGGGGGCCAUCUUCUCCAGCGCGCCGGGAGCUCCCUCCCUUUCAUGGCCGCCCAGCUCCUUGUCCAUGGCGCGCUUUCUCUGCUCCUUGCUCUAGGGCGCCCAGAUUUUCCAGCAGAGCUCCCCCAUGGCCGAAGUCAUCGCGCCCUCUGCUCCUCCCUCCCUAGCGCGUCUCACCUCUGGCCGGCGCCCUGCACAACAACCUUCUCCCCCCUCGGUCCCCCAUCCGAGCGCCCAAGUAGCGCCGCUCCCUGCGCCCUCCUCUGCGCACAGCGAUGAACCCCUCCUCGCUGUUCUCCGUGGUGCCCAUCGGCUGUUCGAUAAAGUACGCAGCAAGCCGCGCGCUGUAGCAGCCCUCCCAUUCGUUCUCCACUCCCCUCGUCGCGUGGCGUCGCUCUCGUGCUCACUGCGCAGCCCCAUCCGUGACGUUUUAAGUCCUCGGUGAGAUUCCUCGCUGCCCUUGCUGCUGUCAUAUUUUUGUGCACAGUAAAACUGUUGGACCAUUGAGUGAUGUUAAUCGCAGCUAGAUGAUGCUGUGGUGCCUCGCGUGAUGCAUUGAUUUGGCGAAGCCCCUAAACCGUGGACGCAUGCGCGACUCGAAUCCGAGAUGACAGGUUGAUGGAUUUAUAAUUUACUAUUGAUGUGAUUCGGUUGAUGGCAUGCAUAUAGAUAUGGUGUAUAUUGGUGUUGAAUAUGUGUGACUGUGAUGGUUCAUUUACGUGUCGCGAGGGUGGUUCGUCGAUAUAUUAAUUGAUUGUUAAAAUGCUUCGUCGUAAAAUAAUGUGUUUGUGCGGCAAAUUUAAUAAGGCGUAAAGCAUGCUUGGUAGUUUCCGCAGACGACUAAUGGGUUCGUCUAUGUUAAAAAUAUUUUAUGUAUUCAUCGUGGUGUAGGAUAGAGUGGAUCGAAGAUAUAAAUUAUGUGACAUGUGAUUAGUGUUUUUAAGAUGAGAUGUACGAAUGAUCGAUUAGUGUUUCACUUGUCUAGUCGAUAAAUGUUGUCAUAAAUACUUGUGCUAAAAUUGGUCAUGAGAAUGCAGUGGGCACGUGGUGUGUUUGGAUGUGACAAGUAGAUUGGAAGUGGGGGGUCUGUCGAAGCACUGAGAUGUCGAACGUGUAUAUAGAAGUGCAUUGUAGUGGUAAUUGCGAUAAGUUAAUCGGUAGUGUCUCGAGUGCACGCCACAACAUGGUUGUAUGCGAGACAAGGUAAUAUAAGGUGUGCUUGACACGAAUGUUCGGUCGAUAUAAGUAGAAAUUGUUUUGGCUUAAUUAGAGAGGUGGUGACAUGCCAAAGUAGUCAUCGCUUUCUAUAUAUUUAUAAGUCGAGUCGAGUCGAUGCACAUUAUGCGUUUGUUAAAUUAUGCUUCGCAUAUAGUGUAUGAUUGUGCUCACGAUUUUGAGUAGACACUUCAAGUAAAUUAAGUAGAAUCGUGAUACAAGUUGUGUAAUGAAGUUAGUUGCUUUAGAAUAAUUAUUGAAAUGUUCUGUUCAUAUGAUAAACAUGUAUGUGUUCACAGUUUGAGAAGUAAAUGCAUGGUGAUUGCGAUUUGGAGAUUAGUGGUUUACGAUUCAUAUGAGUUGGUCGGUGUGCGAAAAUACUUGUGAAUAUGUGUGUUUAUAAAAAUGUUGUAGUGUAUGUUGUGUCUCGGAUUUCGAUAAUAAUAGGCUAGCCGACGAGUAUGUUGUAUAGCGGCCUAGGUUGUUGCUCUGGUUAACCAACUUGUUAGAUGACUUUGGUUAAGCUCGUAGUCACGAUGAAUUGCUUUUAUAGUCUAGAUGUGCAUGGUUAUGAUCGCAGUUAAAAAUUAGUAGUGCUCAUGUGGUGUCUAAGCUAAAAUGAGAACUAGUGGGUGAAAAGCGCUUCGAUAUACAUAUAUGCCGGAUAUGAUGAUUGUGGUGAAUGCGUUGAUUAAUUGUGUAUGGUAGUUCUAGCGCAUGAAAUAACUUGUAUAAAGAUUAGUAAGUCUACUUGUUAGUCCUCAUUUAAUUAAUUUAACUCUAAUGAAUGGUAAAGUGUUAGAAUAAUUCAAGUCUCUAAAACGUGGCAAUUCUUGAAUUAUAUAGGAGCUGAAAAUUAUUAGUUGCUGUUUUGGACUGCACGCAGUGAUUUCCCCGUGCUGUAUGUUUGAUGAACUAAAUUAUGUUUUCUGUAGAUAUGUGAUAUAGAAAAGUUGUAGAUAACUUUAUUGUCUUACUGGUGUUAAAAUUUGACAGCCAUAAGUCUGAUCGUUUGGGAGUUAUACUUGUCGCAAAUUCAGUAACUGAAUAUGCCCACUUUCUGUACAGAUUCCAGAAAUUGAAUUGUUUACUUAAGUUAAUGUUACAAUCUGUUCAUGGUCAUUAUAAGAACGUUGUAGGUGCUUUUCUUAUCUUGCUUGUGUUAAAAUUUCACAACCAUAGGCCUGACAGUUUAAGAGUUAACAAUUUUUCAAACUGGUUGCUAUGUUCUGUCCACUGUCAGAACAGAUUUCGAAAACUGUGUUGUUUGAUUUAGUUAAACAUAGAAUCACUUCUUGGUGAUUAUAAAAGUUGUGUAGCACUUUUGCUUGGCUUUCCAAAAAGUCUUAGAUCACUCUUUUUGGUGAUCUGAAGAUUAAGUUAUGGAUGUUUAAAGUGCGAAGACUGAAUCUGUCUAAAUAUGGACAGCCAAGCCUUCUAAUGUCUUUUAUCCUUAGUUAAAUAUUGAAUCACCUUGAUAUGUAUAUAAAUUAUAUGUAGAAAAUUUCAUUAUCUUUUCAGAAAGUCUUUUAUUUGGAUGCCUGAAUCUCUAGUUAUGGAUUUUUAAAGUCACAAGCCUGAAUCUGUCCAAAUCUGGACAGAGCUGUUGUAUUAGCACGUUUUGACCUUGCUAAGUGUUGAAUCAUGUUGUGAUGACAAUACCAAAGUUGUAGAGCACUUUUUAAGCUUUCCAGAAAAUCCUAGUUUUCUAGUUUUGGAUUAGUAUGUGAAGAGUUACGAUUAAAACAAAUAACUGCUUGCUACUGUCCUAAAAAACUGCAUGUGCUCAUUUAAUUGUUAAUUCACCCUUUUGGCUAAAAAUGGUUAGUUAGCACUAAAUUAAUAUAAACUUGCCAUGACUAAGCUUAAUAAUGUAUGUGUGUCAUGUUUUAUAUGUUUAUUUUCUAGUUAUAUAUCUUGUGCUACUUUCAUUAUAUUCAUACACAUGCAUCUUGCAUCUCAUUUAGGACCGAGAGAUAAUGAUCGAGCCAGUGAUGUGGUGCAAACCACAAGAUGCAGCUGAUGGAUGACCUGAAGAAUGGUGAACUUACCCAGUGGAUGCUCGCCAAGCGAGUACCCCCAGCAAACACUAUCUAAGUGUUAAAUUAAAGGCAAGCCCCGGUUUUAUGCAUAACCGUUAUAUAUGCUAUUUUACUGCACUUAAUGUUUGUAGGCUUGUACUGUGCACUUAAAUAUAAUAGUUGCCUGAAACCAUAGUUGCAUGAACUUAGGAUUCCUGUUGAGAUGAAUACUAGUAUGCUAGGUCGAGUAGAUGCUUUGCUAAUUAGGGAUAUCGGUAGAAGUCGAGUGAUUUUUCUAGCACUCGUGCGAGGUCAGGAAUUGAUUGUAUCCAUUUUUAUAUUAGAAUGAUGAUGGUCUGUGGACACGGAUCCAUGGGGAUGCAUUAUUUAUGAGACGGAAAUUGGAAUAAGUAUUAACGUGCGGAUACCUGUGUCAAGCGUUUGAACGUACUAAACACAUGCCAAGAAAUAUGGUAAAUAGGUAAGCCUAGUACCUGAGUGAACCUGGCAGCAGACUUUACCCCUCACGCGACCUGAGACAUGGUCUCCCAUUCCAGUUAUGGUGGGUACAAGUGCGGUCACUACACGACGGCAGUCAGGGUCAGUGAGGCAUUAUACGCCAAGGCGGUGAGCCUUGUUCUGUUGACGGGGAAUCGAUGGGGACAGUUGAUAUGUGUGGGGAUAGAGUGCCUCACCACGUCGUGUGUUUAGGUUUACCUUGCAAGGUUUAAAACUCGAUUCUAAUCGUCAACUUCUCGCAGCUAAUGAGACUGCUUGAUCCAUUGUACUACAUUGAGUAAUAAGUGGAAAUGAGGUGACCGGCAAAAUAUGUUGAUUGAUAAAAAUGUUUGAUACCAUGUAUAAAAAGGAUCAUACUAAAACUUGAAAAGCUAAAACUUGAUUUUAGUCUCAGCUAGUGCUUUUGGCAAACCAAACCCCUCAGCCAACAGCUGCAUGUCUAGAGGUAGAGGAGUAGACUCCUCACACCGGGUAAGUCUAGCUGAGUAUUAGUAUACUCAGCCUUGCUUGUGGCAUAAUUUUUGAAGGUACUCCUUAGGAUGAUUGGUUGAUGGUGUGACUUGGCCUCCAUCCCUGCCACCGGGAUAGACGGUCGAGUGGGUUACUGCUUCCGCAGGAGAGGACCAGGAGGAGUAGCGUGGCCAGGCUUCACUAUGUUACUCGGUUUUCUCCGUUAGUUAUUUCCGCUGCAUUAAAAUUUAUGGUUAUUAUUUCUGAAACUCCGAUAAUUUAAUCACUAAUGAUACUUAUUAAAUUUGUGGUAUUAUUUUUUAUUGUAUUUCUCUGUGUCUCACCUUCGAGUGAGCUAGUGGUAUUCGAUCCUGGUUAAGUGGCUUUAUCGGACUAAAUCCGAGGGACUGACGAGUUAUUCCGAUUUAAGUGUGUUGCUGCCUUUAAGGGUGCGACUUGGGCACUUAAGCUGGAAUAAUUCGGGCGGUUCCGCCACAUAAGGCAGCCAGUGAAAAAAUAUCAGGGGUGGGAAGCGGUGGUAGAUAGGAUCGGCUGUAGGAUAUUUUCCUUUUUUGCCUUUUCUUUUUACACAAUAAUCAAUCUUUAUUCGUGCUCUCAUAUUUGAAUCUAGUACCAAGAUAUAAAUAAGGUUUAGCUUGGUCAAACCAAAAUGACAUUGCCAAUUACACAGGAGAUUUCUUUUGAUAUAACUGAGACCCGAUAAAUUCAUCUGUUACCCGAAUGCUCAGAGUAGAGCAAGAAAUAAAGGACCAGACCACAUCAUUGUCUUCGAGCACAAUUUCUCAGAUAACACACGGGGUCAAGAUUAUUUUGAACUGAAAGCCUUAUUUGUCUAAUUCUAAAUGAAUUUGUUUGGGGUCAACUCAGCGGGCGGAACUAAAUUUUCAAAUUUGUCUUUGCGCGAGCGAUGAAUUUUAAAUAAUCACCAGACUCGCCGAUUUUCGGAACAAUUAUGUUCCGAACAUCAUGAAAAUUUAGGAAAAGCCCGGAUAGAUAAAUAUAAAAACGAUAUCGAACUCGCGACAGAUGAAAAAGAUGAAGACAUAGAGACUGUUAUUAUUACUGAUAUCUCGUACUUACAUCCAUAGUCGCUGCUAAACGUAUUGUAACACCUGGGGUGUUAUAGCCCUCCCCCCUUAAAAGAAUCUCGUCCCGAGAUUCGGAGCAAAAGACUUUUAAGAGUAGCGAAGCAUGUAACUCAUGUCCAUAUCAGCGAUAGCACAAGACCAUUUUGGACGGGAUCAAAGAUCUUAGAUGUUGUUUCUCUAGUGGAUAUAGCAUGUAUUGCCUUGAGCUAAUUUAGAGAUGUCCUUCAAUAGAGACGAUGUCUGCUAGAAGAACACAUAAGGUUCCCUAUGUGCAGUUUGCUUUUUCUAAUAACACUGUACUACCUGAGUCUGGAGGGCAAGCGGUAGAUAUGCGACUUUACCCAAAUAGAAUUAGUUGCAACCUCUUGGGUAAAACACACAGAAAGAGGUUUACCAACAAGUGGUCGUUGGAAAUUCAUAGCACAUAAGACGAGUGUGGAUGUCGAAUACUGUCACGGCUAACAUGUGGCUAACCAGAGAAUUCAAGUGCACGAAAGAUGAUAGAGAUUCAAGAAAAUAUCAAUGAAGAGAUCCGUUGAUGUUGACGUCGCGACCAACCCAUUUUGUAAAACACUUAGCACGGCUCAACUGGAUCACACAUGUUAGAAAAUCACAUGUGAGGUGAUCGAGACACGUCUAGAACGAUAAUUGGGUGGUUACUGGCUGACCUAAUCUUGAUUCUUGAAAGUACUUCCUUAGGAUGGGUUGAACUAAAGUGAGUUCAGACAACUCGAUAAAACGAUCGAUAAACUCAAGGUUUGUUCAUUGGGCAGUUACAAGUUAGUAAAACCAACUUGUUGAACUACUUUUGACAUUGAGCAAGUCCUCUUAUUAUUUAUCGGCAAUCCAAGAGUUGAGAGUUCACAUUUGCUAACAAGAGACCAUGUAUUUGAAUAGAAUUCCAUUCGGUCGGGUUGUUCAUCCAUCUCUUCCAUGUGAGACAAACUAUACACUCAGAAGUUGUAUGAAUCAAGCAAGAUAGCGAAUGGACAAACUCCUGCAUUUCAGCAGCAGGGAAAAUCAAUCUCCAUUUUGAGAAUUAAUCAGCCACCUUCCAACACUAAAAAGUUCCAAGGCUUCACCUUUACAACAAAGGAUGCAAAGGGAACUUGGAUACGUACAGUCACUACCAAAGUCAAGGGAAAAGAGACCACACAAGAGAGGAGUGAUUAUUAUCACACGAUUAGACACAAUAGGUUCCGAUUUCGAUGAGGACUUAUGAAUUAGUAGAAAACUCGUUAAAGAACACCUCAAAGUGGUAUGCUCUUUUGACUCAACAGAGAUGAUAGAUGUUGCUUGAUCACUUGACAAACAACAUAGAAAUCAUUUCACAGAAGAGAUCUACGAAAGAUAACAUAUUAGAGUAGUUCCAUAAUGGAUCAUGACCAGAGACCUUGAUAACAGCAUCCGACGAGUAGCACAACCUUGUGUGCGCAUUCACAGGAGGCUCUCAGUUUCGCCGCGGCACCAUAAGUCAAUCAUGAGACCAUGACCGAACUGGCACCAAUAAUGAAUCUCACGCGGUAAGAACAAUUUGUGCAGAGAUAACAUAUCGAUAUAGUCUCAUAAUGGAUUAUGACUACUAAUUGUGAUACCAGCGCGUGCUAAGUAGCACAACCAUGUGUGUACAUUCACAGGAGGCCCUCGGUUUUGUCACAGCACCAUCGAUUUUAGUCAUAACACCAUUACUAGACGUAACCAAUAAGAAAUCUCGCGCGACACCAAUGGAUUGGGCAAGGGUGACAAAUAUACAAAGAGAUACUCCACCUGUAAGAAUGGUUACAAGUAGAGAGCCAAAUAGAUCAUGGCCCGAUGAAAUGAACAAGACAUGGCCAUAACCUAAACUUCAUUAAACGAGUACGAUGGCAGACUGUUACUUAUACCCAAGCGUAUUUGUAUGCCCAUCACCGAGGUUACAAGGUCAAGGAUUAGUAUCUGACUAGAUGCGGAGGGAAAACAAUCAUAAGAUUAAGUUGGUAUGCCUUAGAUAGAUAUGAGGAAACCAAAGGCAUCAAUUAAGGAAAAUGAUCAGGCAUGACUUUCCUAGGUUGGGUUGAUAAAGCGACAAUGCAAUCCUCCAGGAGAGGCAAAAUAGAAUAGAGAUAUCAACUUGCACCAACCGAACAAGGGAAUGGUUCUAGAAGGAGACAUGACUCAAGAUUCUUGGUUUAAGCCCGGGUACACUUUUAUGUCCAACAAAGAAAUUAUCUAAGCAGUUAUUUGUACAAGUUUGGUCAAGGAGGGAUAACAGAAAAAUCAACUUUGGGUCAUGGUUCACUAAAUAAGAACAUAGCCUAGUUUUGAGUUUAGGCAAACAAGUCAGAAACAUUCUAUCGGCGCAUUAAGCACAAGAGCAAACACAAUUUGCACUAAUGGUCAAAUUAUGAAAAGCUGGAAGACAUCUAAACACGUAUCUCUAAGACAUCACAUUAUUUACACUCACCAAAUACUGGAAUAUAGGUGACAAACACGAUGCAACAAUCAGGAUGCAUGCUCGUCCUGUUCGUCCUCACAAGUUUUGCCAACAUAAUGUGGCAAUAGCGUUCUAUAUUGGUGGCAUACUUACGACUCUCUCGGUAUUUUACUAGUCAUUAGCUAAACAUACGUUUUUGAGGUUAGUGUACCUGCAGAAAAUUCCAUCACAGCCCAAUUUCCGAUGAUGCACUUCACACAUGACAGUUUAUCAUAGUUUAUACUCCAUAUAUUGCUAUAUGGAGGCCAGCUCUUCAUUAAGCGCCAAGCCACGCAUAGGCGCCGUUGCCACACUUUAACCAUAGGGCAGCUUAUUAUGGUAACUCACCUUCUUACCUGAGCGUAGGUGCAUCGUUGCAAGUACAUUACACUUCUCAGUAUUCCCAUGUCUGUAUACCUAUACACACACAUGGGGUACCGAAUUCCCAGAAAAGUAAAUACUCCACAUCGCAGCCUUCAUAUAUACAUAUGUGGAACAUGUAUAUAAUCAAGCGCUUUUUAUGCUCUCCACUAGACCGACGAUUGUUCGGUCCUGCUCUCACAUCUCACCUUACCUGAUCGUCGAUCCAUUCAAAAUUGAAUGGCCUCAAAAAUAACAUUACACAUGUAUGCAAUAUCCCCCGGUUGUGGGUUAAUGUUUUAAAUAAGCCACCAGAUAGUCCUUAAUUUAGGGCUUAACAGAGGAUGUCGCUAGCACUAUAGUUUUUCAAAUCUAUUUUUCAAAACCAAACAAUGUUUUUAGUUGAAAAUAGGUUUUUCAAAACCAAAACUUUGUUUUGAAAAUACGUAUGUGACCGUAUAUACUUAAACUUGGUUCGAUACCAGCUGUGGCAGAACCUCCCAAGUUAUUGGGCCCACAUGCACCUGACCUUGUCUCAAAGACCUCAGACGGUUAUGCAUGUGCACUAGAUAACUUAAUAGGAUCCGUCCGAGUGUCCCAAGGACCCUGGAUAAACCACUUCCAACUAGGACCGCUAGAUUAAUUAAACACAAAUCACACACCAACAUUUUGCAGCGGAAUUUCUUUAUUACAAAAGUUACAAGUUACAACAAAUUUACAUUAUAUUUAUCAGAGUGGUUACAAAGUUUCAAAGAAAUAAACUUUGAAAUAUUAUAAAUUAUUUAUAAGUUUGAAAUAUAUGCUAGCUUAAGUGACCAUCCUCAAUAAGAAGUAUAGAAGAGUUACUUUAACCUAUAAGAAGGCCGUGUCCACCGGCGCUUAACACCAUCCACAACAGCACAAUUCUAGUACCUGCAACAACAUGGGUUCGAAAACCCUAAGUACGAAGUGUACUUUCGCAAGUCUUACCCGUCUAAGGAAAAAGACUCUCAAGGAUAUGCUGGCUUUUGGGAAUCAAGGUAAAGUUUAACAAGAUUCAAAGACUCUUUUGCAGAAAAGCUACUAUGAGUGGAUCCUUAAGAAUUCAUUUUACUUGUCAGGUUAAGUAAAGUUACCUGCAUCUAGAGUUCUUUCUACCCUAGUUCAGGCACUUGGCCUAUACUAGCCGUCCUUUUAUCAUCCCUUCAGUUCACUGGAUUGCUACAUGUAGGGCAGUGACCAAGUUUUCAUGUCCGAGAAGUAACAGCAAUCUGAAUCGAUUAAUACCCAGCUGGGGUUCUCCAACCACACAACAUAUGUAGCACUUAACCCUUGCAUAUGUCAACUCGCCACCGGGUUUCUCAAGACCAGACCGGGUUCACGCCAACCGAGAGCAUAGAUACACCAUCGUCCAGCCUCUUGCCACAGAGGGUACACGCUACUCUCGCUAUCUCUCCACUCCCAUUGCGUGUUGGCCUUUCUGGUAUUGGCCCGACUAAGGCAAAGCUUACCCAUGACGAGGCAUGUGGCCAGUUAAAAGGUCCUCAAUCAUCAAGCCUACAUCGACACGGUCCUUAAUCGACUCAGACGGAGACACUACACCGAGACUUCCUUCUCAUGCAAGUCAUCCGCCCAGUCUCGUCUUUAUUAUUUAAAACGCAAAGUUUGGUACCUGGCAGAGGUACAUAUUUUCAGAUGUUGAACCCAUCAAGGUCUUGAUGGAUUCACCAUCACAAGUUUUUCUUUGUAAAAAUUCCAUCCAAUCUGAAGCAUCACCUUUUGUUGUAAAACAAACCAUUUUGUUUUGUAAAGCAAUGCUAAGCAUCGUAAAAAUCCUUUUCAUAAAAGGGUAUCAAGGAAGGAUAAUCAAUUUUCCAAGGAAGGAAAUGCAUCAAUUCUUUAGCACACAACUCCUAUCACCUAAUGCAUCAAACAAGGUGAUAAAGAUUUUAAAACACAAGGAAAGGGAUAAUGCACCGGGGCUUGCCUGGAAUAAACACUACGUUAGUGUUUGUUAGAUGACGUCCACUUGGCGAUCAGCUUUUGUUCCGAUACUUGCCCCGUCUGUCCAUCUUCAGGUUCGUCCAUCAGCAUCACCUUACGUGUGGCUCACGCUUUCUAGCCUCUUGUGGUCGACUCAGCUUUGGUCCUCCGCAUCUCGUGAUUAAUUAACGUACCUCAUGGGAUGCACAAUGCACAUGUAUGAAUAUCAAGACGAAUAUCGCAAGAUAAUAUUACGAUUUUACACAGUGAAGAAUUAAACACUUAAUGGCGAGAUGUAUUACAACACUCAUGAUACUAGUAUCGACAUAUUACUGAAUACAACAAUCACCCUCUCUAUCUUAACCAGAUCUAACUCAAACAUCAAGAACAAU